rnacentral:sRNA from 1 species
UACUACGCGGAGUUCGCGUUCCUCCUGG